GAGUUAAAGCUAAUUAAGCCUGCUAACUGUUAACUAGCAGUAACGAAACAAGAAAUCGUUUAACUCC
rnacentral:tRNA from 1 species